GNNNANNGUCNCCUGCAGUCGACGAUUCCUACGGGAGGCAGCAGUGAGGAAUUUUGCGCAAUGGGGGAAACCCUGACGCAGCAACGCCGCGUGGGUGAAGAAGGCUUUCGGGUCGUAAAGCCCUGUCAGGUGGGAAGAAACUCUUCAGUACUAAUAAUGCUGAAGCCUGACGGUACCACCAGAGGAAGCACCGGCCAACUCCGUGCCAGCAGCCGCGGUAAUACGGAGGGUGCAAGCGUUGUUCGGAAUUAUUGGGCGUAAAGAGCGUGUAGGCGGCUUGGUAAGUCAGAUGUGAAAGCCCUGGGCUCAACCCAGGAAGUGCAUUUGAAACUACCAGACUUGAGUACGGGAGAGGAGGGGGGAAUUCCCGGUGUAGAGGUGAAAUUCGUAGAUAUCGGGAGGAAUACCGGUGGCGAAGGCGCCCCUCUGGACCGAUACUGACGCUGAGACGCGAAAGCGUGGGGAGCAAACAGGAUUAGAUACCCUGGUAGUCCACGCCGUAAACGAUGAGCACUAGGUGUAGCGGGUAUUGACCCCUGCUGUGCCGUAGCUAACGCAUUAAGUGCUCCGCCUGGGGACUACGGUCGCAAGACUAAAACUCAAAUGAAUUGACGG
rnacentral:rRNA from 1 species